UUGAUCAUGGCUCAGGACGAACGCUGGCGGCGUGCUUAACACAUGCAAGUCGAACGGAAUCCAUGGUGUAGCAAUACACCGGAAGAUUUAGUGGCGAACGGGUGAGGAUCACGUGAGAAACCUGCCCCAGACUUUGGGAUAACAAUUGGAAACGAUUGCUAAUACCGAAUGACGUCGGAGAACCGCAUGGUUCACUGACGAAAGGAAAUCCGGUUUGGGAGGGUCUCGCGGCCUAUCAGCUUGUUGGUGGGGUAAUGGCCUACCAAGGCAACGACGGGUAGCUGGUCUGAGAGGAUGAUCAGCCACACUGGGACUGAGACACGGCCCAGACUCCUACGGGAGGCAGCAGUGGGGAAUCUUGCGCAAUGGGCGAAAGCCUGACGCAGCAACGCCGCGUGCGGGAUGAGGGCCUUCGGGCUGUAAACCGCUUUCAGCAGGAACGAAAAUGACGGUACCUGCAGAAGAAGGAGCGGCCAACUACGUGCCAGCAGCCGCGGUGACACGUAGGCUCCAAGCGUUGUCCGGAUUUAUUGGGCGUAAAGAGCUCGUAGGCGGUUUAGUAAGUCGGGUGUUAAAACUCUGGGCUCAACCCGGAGAGGCCAUCCGAUACUGCUGUGACUUGAGUUCAGGAGGGGAGCGGGGAAUUCCUAGUGUAGCGGUGAAAUGCGCAGAUAUUAGGAGGAACACCGGUGGCGAAGGCGCCGCUCUGGACUGAAACUGACGCUGAGGAGCGAAAGCAUGGGUAGCAAACAGGAUUAGAUACCCUGGUAGUCCAUGCCGUAAACGGUGGGCACUAGUGUGGGUUCCAACUAACGGGAUCCGCGCCGUCGCUAACGCAUUAAGUGCCCCGCCUGGGGAGUACGGUCGCAAGACU
rnacentral:rRNA from 1 species